CUUUUAUGCUAUUGAAAGAAUGUGCGGAAUGCGUGUAGGCGAAACAGUGCUUGUUUCACCUAAGCAUUGUUUCACCUACAUGCAUUCCGCACAUUCUUUCGAUAGCAUAA